CAGAGGGUGCUAGCGUUGUUCGGAAUUACUGGGCGUAAAGGGCGCGUAGGCGGUCUGUUAAGUUCGGUGUGAAAUCCCUCGGCUCACCCGAGGAACUGCGCCGGAAACUGGCAGACUCGAGUACCGGAGAGGAGGGUGGAAUUCCUGGUGUAGCGGUGAAAUGCGUAGAUAUCAGGAGGAACACCGGUGGCGAAGGCGGCCCUCUGGACGAGUACUGACGCUGAGGCGCGAAAGCGUGGGGAUCAAACAGGAUUAGAUACCCUGGUAGUCCACGCUGUAAACGAUGGGAACUGGGUGUGAGAGGUUAGAUCCUCUCGUGCCGCCGCUAACGCAUUAAGUUCCCGCCUGGGGAUUACGGCCGCAGGUUA
rnacentral:rRNA from 1 species